UACAGAGGUCGUCAAGCGUUUGUUCGGAUUCAUUGGGCGUUAAAGGGUGCGUAGGCGGCGCGGUAAGUCGGGUGUGAAAUCUCGGAGCUUAACUCCGAAACUGCAAUUCGAUACUGCCGUGCUUGAGGACUGGAGAGGAGACUGGAAUUUACGGUGUAGCGGUGAAAUGCGUAGAUAAUCGUAAGGAAGACCAGUGGCGAAGG
rnacentral:rRNA from 1 species